AGAGAGGAGUAUUCGUCUGCAAGCGUAGCCAGACUUUCGACCUCUUCAAGUCGGUUGAUUUAUUUCCAUUUUUAAGCUUAGACCAUUAAAACUCAACAAGGAAAUCAGUUAUAGGAUGUUGACCCAGCUAAGCCGAGGCCACAAGGCGUUGAAAAUGCUGGCCUUCAUGGGUGUCACUCUUUGCCUUCUCUUGACUCUGUCACCCCAUUCCGCUGAGGCGACGCCGGGAUCCAGGGACUGGCCAACCGACGCAGUGUUGACUCCGGCCAGCAGCGUGGAGCUUAUGGAGCUGCAGGAAGACGAGGCGCCUCACAGGCUCCGCCGAUCUGCAUUUCUGCCUUUGUUCAGCCCCUUCGCCAAGCGUGGUCCUUCCGGCAGUGACCUCAUGACUCUGUCGGAUUUCAUGUUAAUAGAACAGAGGAGAAAGUCGAGACAAGAGGUAAUGGAUAUAUUGAAUGGAAUGGGAAAAUGAAACAAUCAAACUUUUUAUUUCGACUUAAAGCUACGACACAUUUUACAUUAGAUUAUUUUCGCAUUUAUAUCAAACCGAUUUAUUUUAACACUUAGGGCGACAACAUGGGGUUUGUGCAAAGGAAAAAUUCUUGUCUAUUUUAAAAUUUCUUGAAAGUAAAUAUAUUAUUAAAAAAAAAUAUUGGUACCAGUA